UUACGACCACAUCACGUUGAAACAUUGGUUCCUGUACGAUCACCGAAGUUAAGCAACGUUGAGCCUUGUCAUUACUUAGAUAGGUUUAUUGCUUGGGAAUACCAGGGGCUGUAAG